AGCGAACGCUGGCGGCGUGCCUAACACAUGCAAGUCGAACGCGAAAGGGGGGGCAACCCUCCUAGUAGAGUGGCGCACGGGUGAGUAACGCGUGGGUAAUCUGCCCUCGAAUGGGGAAUAACCUCGCGAAAGCGGGGCUAAUACCGCAUAACCUCUUUCCCUCUUCGGAGAGGAAGAUCAACGGUGACCUCUGCUUGCAAGUUGCCGUUUUAGGAGGAGCCCGCGUCCCAUGAGCGAGUUGGUAGGGUAACGGCCUACCAAGGCUACGAUGGGUAGCCGGCCUGAGAGGGUGACCGGCCACACGGGAACUGAGACACGGUCCAGACUCCUACGGGAGGCAGCAGUGAGGAAUAUUGCGCAAUGGGCGAAAGCCUGACGCAGCGACGCCGCGUGGAGGAUGAAGGCCUUCGGGUCGUAAACUCCUGUCGAGGGGGACGAAAUGGGGCUCUGUUAAUAGCAGGGCGUCUUGACGGUACCCCUGGAGGAAGCCCCGGCUAACUCCGUGCCAGCAGCCGCCGUAACAC
rnacentral:rRNA from 1 species